rnacentral:rRNA from 1 species
UACGGAGGGGGCUAGCGUUGUUCGGAAUUACUGGGCGUAAAGCGCGCGUAGGCGGACCUGCAAGUCGGGGGUGAAAGCCCGAGGCUCAACCUCGGAACUGCCUUCGAUACUGCGGGUCUCGAGUCCGGGAGAGGUGAGUGGAAUUCCUAGUGUAGAGGUGAAAUUCGUAGAUAUUAGGAAGAACACCAGUGGCGAAGGCGGCUCACUGGCCCGGUACUGACGCUGAGGCGCGAAAGGCGUGGGGAGCAAACAGG